CUGGGAGCCAAAGAAAUAGAAUUCU
rnacentral:piRNA from 1 species